rnacentral:ncRNA from 1 species
CCCGCUGAAUUUAAGCAUAUUAGUCAGUGGAGGAAAAGAAACUAACCAGGAUUCCUUCAGUAACGGUGAGUGAACAGAGAUGAGCCCAGUGCCGAAUCCCCGUCCCACAGUGGGGCACGGGAAACGUGGUGUACAGAAGACCCACUCACCAGUGCCGCUCUCGGGGUGGGGUCCAAGUCCUUCUGAUUGAGGCACAGCCCAUGGACUGUGUGAGGCUGGUAGUGGCCCCUGGCACACCAAGACUGGGUCUUCUUGGAGUCGGGUUGCUUGGGAAUGCAGCCCAAAGCGGGUGGUAAACUCCAUCUAAGGCUAAAUACCGGCGCAAGACCAAUAGUCAACAAGUACCGUAAGGAAAAGUUGAAAAGAUCUUUGAAGAGAGAGAGAGUUCAAGAGGGUAUGAAACCAUUAAGAGCUAAAUGGGUGGGGUCUGUAAUUUGAUUUUUUUUUUCUUAAAAGAAAAAAAUAUUUUUUCCAGGAAAAACUCCUUCACAGUCAGGGUGUCCAGACUGUGGAUUAAACUCCCUCCAGUGGUGGUGCAGUCACCUACCCUGGAAAUCUUUAAAAGGAGGCUGGACAGUCACCUCGCUGGGGUCACUUGACCCCAGUUGUCUUUUCCUGCCUAGAGCAGGGGGGCUGGACCCGAUGAUCUACAAGGCCCCUUCCAGCCCUUAACAAUCUG